rnacentral:rRNA from 1 species
GACGAACGCUGGCGGCGUGCCUAAUACAUGCAAGUCGAGCGAAGUUUUUCUGGUGCUUGCACCGGAAAAACUUAGCGGCGAACGGGUGAGUAACACGUAAAGAACCUGCCUCAUAGACUGGGACAACUAUUGGAAACGAUAGCUAAUACCGGAUAACAGCAUUAACUGCAUGGUUGAUGUUUAAAAGUUGGUUUUGCUAACACUAUGAGAUGGCUUUGCGGUGCAUUAGCUAGUUGGUGGGGUAAAGGCCUACCAAGGCGACGAUGCAUAGCCGACCUGAGAGGGUGAUCGGCCACACUGGGACUGAGACACGGCCCAGACUCCUAAGGGAGGCAGCAGUAGGGAAUCUUCCGCAAUGGGCGAAAGCCUGACGGAGCAACGCCGCGUGAGUGAAGAAGGAUUUCGGUUCGUAAAGCUCUGUUGUUAGGGAAGAAUGAUUGUGUAGUAACUAUACACAGUAGAGACGGUACCUAACCAGAAAGCCACGGCUAACUACGUG